UACAGAGGGUGCGAGCGUUGUUCGGAAUUAUUGGGCGUAAAGCGCAUGUAGGCGGCUUGUUAAGUCGCGUGUGGAAGCCCUCGGCUCAACCGAGGAAGUGCGCGCGAAACUGGCGAGCUUGAGUGCCGGAGAGGGUGGCGGAAUUCCCGGUGUAGAGGUGAAAUUCGUAGAUAUCGGGAGGAACACCAGAGGCGAAGGCGGCCACCUGGACGGACACUGACGCUGAGAAGCGAAAGCGUGGGGAGCAAACAGG
rnacentral:rRNA from 1 species